rnacentral:lncRNA from 11 species
UGUGCUUCCUUAUCUCUAACCCGCAAAGAGGAUUGGGGAAGGCGGAGAGCAGACCUUUCCUUUCAAAAAGAGCUCCGUGGAGGAAUGCCAUGGCAUCAGGAAGCCAGGAAACAGUCAGUGUCCAGGAUGAGGCCGUGGAGGAAAGCCAGUUUAAGACAUGCAGACAGAUUGCCUUCUACAGGAGGCAGAAACAUUUGGGUCCUGGGAAGCCCUUGUACCGGGUCUUGCCAGACACAGUAGAAUUAUCCAACAGCAAUGUCAGAUUCCAAAUUAUCAGUGAAGAAUACAAGGUGAGAAAUAUGUUUGGAAAGUAGCUGAUUAAGAAAAGUCUUGGACAAUUACAAUACAAAAAAUAAGCUU